ACUCCUACGGGAGGCAGCAGUGGGGAAUCUUAGACAAUGGGGGCAACCCUGAUCUAGCCAUGCCGCGUGAGUGAUGAAGGCCUUAGGGUUGUAAAGCUCUUUCAGCUGGGAAGAUAAUGACGGUACCAGCAGAAGAAGCCCCGGCUAACUCCGUGCCAGCAGCCGCGGUAAUAC
rnacentral:rRNA from 1 species